rnacentral:lncRNA from 1 species
UUAUACUAGUAAAACACAAUAAUAUACAAUUCACAGAAAAAUAAUUUUUAGGCAAUUCAAUUUCCUGAAAUUCGUUUUCAAUUUAAUUCAAUUUUAUCUUCGCAACAAACGGACCCUUAUUUUUAAACCAAAAGUAUAAUUAACGUGUUUUUCCCAAAAAACGGAAAAAGGCCCAACCUUUCAUUUCCUAAUACCAUAAACAAUGGAUGUACAGAAUACAUUUCAAUUUCUCUCUCUCACCUUUUCCACCGUCACACUCCGACGACGGCACCACCGAAAAUUCACGCCUCCUCUUUUCUGAUAACUUUUGCUCAACUUCUUUAAAAAAAAAUUGAAUUGAAAAAUUGGUUGCAUCAACCCAAAGGCUGAAUUUCUUUCUUUUUCUUAACUCACCCCGUACUCUGGCUACAACAACACCCGAUUGCAGAUCAUGGGCAGAAGCUUUAUAGGUAUUCGAUUGUUUGAUUCGCCAAGUUUCACCAGUAGAAGGCGUGGAUGAGUUUGUAAGUGUCGUUCAUUUUUUUUCUACCAGUUAUUUAUUUAUUUUUUUCCUUCUUUUUGUUUGGAUGCAUUUUUUUAGCAUUCUAUUUAUUCAUACUCGGGAAAUGGGUCUAAGCCACUUCUUAGGUUUUUUCUAAAUUUUAUUUGCCCAAUUUCUUCAGUCUCUGUUUAUUUUCUGUGUGCCGUGGAAAUGUAUCGUUAAUGGAUUGCACCAAUUCAAUUUGUAUUUCUAUAGAAGUACAGAAAGAACCCUUAUCUAUAGAUUUGCAACAUUGACAUUGCUAAAAAUUAUCUAGUCACUCUGCCAAAUUCAGGUUUUGAUAAUGUGUAUAUGGUUGCUGUAUGUGUUUAAAAUUCCAUGUCACAUGAAAGCACAUUUUCUUGAAUGCUAUGCUGCUGAAAUUUUCACAACCAUUGAUGUCAGACUUCUGUACCAUAUUAAAUUUUAGGAUUAAACCACAUCUACAGCACAUCAUGGUUCAUAGCCCCCUCACAAUGAGGGGACCUCACCUCGGUUUUAUUUAUUGUUAAUAUGUGCGGGCCCCCUCCGAUGUGAGGGGGCUGUCAACCGUGCGGUGUGUUGAGCUGUGCACACAGCACGGUCCUAAAUUUUAAACAGAUAGAUGCUGCUGCAAAUUAUGAAUGCUAUCAGUGAACGUUGCAGCAAAUUGAGAAAUGAUGACUUACCAAUUUUGAUUUGCUAUAAACAAGUUUUUAAGAAAAACAUUCAAAUUAAUCAAGAAUGCAUUACAGGUAGCUACUGUGAACUUUUAUGACAGACAACAAUAUCAUCACUUUUAGACAAUAAAGUUUCAAAUGGCACACCAUAUUAGCAUUUUGGCUGCUAAUAAUAGCUGAAACAAUUUUACAGAACAUGUGUUAUUCUGGAUCUCACUGUUGCACUUCAUUACAAUAUCAACAAAAAAUAUGAAGUCUCACAUUGGCAUGUUUGUUUUCUAUUAUUUACCCAUUAAAAUGAAAAAUACGACCAUUAUCCAUCACAUCAAGUCACCAUAUUUGACUUUCUAUCUCUUGUGGGGUUUCGUAACAACUAUAUUUUUCAUUCUUAUUUUUACAUUAAUGUGUACCAAACGAGCUCUAAUACCCAAUAGUUUAUAAAAUAAAACAUUUUGAUCUAUUUUUUUGUAGUUUCUCUUUAACCAAAUCAUUCACUUCUAAAGGUUUGUCCUGUCACUUAUGUGUACGAAUUGUUGAUAUUCUGCAGAAUUAAAGAAUGUAUGAUGCCUAGCGUCUUGUGUUUAUUAAGUUGACACCAUUCUGUAAAAUUAAACAGUAACAAUAACUAGUUAAAAAGUAAAAUCCAACCAAUCAUAGAAAAGAGAAAGUUGGUAUUGAUUAUAAAAUUCUUGUUGAUGGAAUUAGUUUUUCUUUGAAAACAAGUUGAUCCCCAUAUUCGUUUUUAUUUGUCCUUAUAUAUUAUUUUAGAUUUACUGGUCAAGUGAGCAAUUUUUUUCUUAUGGUUUUCUUAAGAAAUCUAAACAUAGCUACCUCAUUUGAGAGAGAUAUAUAUAUUCAUGCUUCUAGAAACAAAUAUGGAAAGCAUAAUCACUUGGCAUUUAUCUGACUUUAUUUCUUUGUAAAACAAGUAAAGCAAAAGUUCAAUUAAAAUAAAAUGAAAUUAGUGAAAUACAAAUCUGAAAACGAAUUAAUUGAAGAAACACAAACACGAGCACACAGAGAAACUUAUAUAUGGCACGCUCCUCGUAUAUAGAUAAGUUGUACAUCAUUCAUAGAAGAUUAAUGUUAUUUGCAAUCGCUCACUAUCUUAGUCGCUUACUAUCGUAGUCGCCCUGUGUGACAUACAUAUGACGAUUAGUGAUUUGAUACAUUAAUGUGGUAGUUUUUAUUACCUUAUAUAACAAUUCAUUAACCUCCACAUGUUUGUCACAUAAGAUAACUGUGGCAGUAAGCAAUUGCCCGUAGCUUUAUUCUUCAUAGAAUCGGUGAAAAGUUAGAACUCUGUUAUCUUUAUUAAUCUUCAUUGUCCCAAAAUUCUUGCACUAGAAUGUUUUUCUCAUAUAAGUAUUUUGCUAGAAAUAUUGUACUGUUCCUUUAUUUCAAAACAAUAUUUCUACUUUUUCUCUCAAAUAAUCUGUUUGAUAAGGUCAAAAUGAUUGUUUUAUCUAUAAUUUUAAUUGAGAAAACUAAUAAGAUCCUUAAUUUAGGGGGUUUCCUCAAUUGAAAUUGGAAUGAAUUUUAAAAUUCUUGUAUAUUCAGGUGAUCUCAAUUGAGAUUUUAAUGAAUUUUAAUGAAAUCUAUUAAAAUUUAGGAGUUUUCAAUUGAUAUUUAAAU